AAAUAAACAAUCUAAUUAUAUUUCAGUUAAGUUAUUUGAUUUUUGUUACUUAAGAAGUCAAGUUUGACGCUUUAUGUUUAUCUUCUUAUAUGCAGCAUCUAGAGAAUGUUGAGCUUGAUCCAUUCAGUGAUGAUCAGGCUGAGUUAAAUUACUUGAAAUCAAAGCCAACAUGUUUUAUAGUACUAGGAAAACCGGGAUGUGGAAAAAGCACUUUAGCUAAAGAGUUUAUAAAAGUAUGGAGAUGUUUACUAAUAACAGUGUCUGAUUCAAUACUCUAUGCCAUUCAAAAUCAAAGUGAAAGUGGCAAAAAAGCUCAUGAUAUUUUAACUAAUGGCGGUGUUGUGCCUGAACAUUUAUCACUGCAAAUUCUUUCUGAAAGGCUAUCCGCAGCAGAUGUUUUUCACUAUGGUUACAUCUUGGAUGGAUUCCCAUGUUACAGUGAAGCAUUUACCAUUGACGAGCAGAUUGCAUUUCUUAAAAAUUUGCCUCUUACACCAGACUACAUCAUCAACAUAAAGAUUUCUGAUGAUGAUCUUUUAAAACGGUGCAACAACUUGAAAGUUGAUCCUGUAACAAAUGACUCAUACACAGCCGAGUUUUACAAUGAUGAAAAUGACAAUGCUUUAAUAGAAAAUAAUUCUAAUUCAACGAUUGGAGAAAAAAGUUUAGAAGAAAAUGGACAAGUAGAUGGUGAUGAAGACAAUGAACAGAAAGAUGAGGAUAACCAGGAUAAUAAUCUUGUUAUUAUUAAUAAAUCAAGCAUAGUACUAAGAUUGCUGUUACGUUAUGAGGAGCUUGCUGGAAGUUUGAAUGAUACCUUGAUUAACUAUAAAGAAAGAGUUCUUAAGUGUUUAGAGAAUUUGAUGUCAGAGCAUGACCAACAAAAGUUAAUUGAACUUGAUGGCAACUUAUCACUAAAGCUUGUUUACAUGAGUUUACUUCAAAGAAUGGAGUUUGAACCAAUAAAUCAAGUUUUUGUUCCUGGAAAACUUAUUGGAGCAGAUAACCUAGUAGAAUUUUCCCAAGAUGAAAAAAGUGAUGAGAUAUUACGAAGUUUAUCUGGUAUUGGAUUGGUUACACCUGGAUAUAGAUGGAGGCGCAGCAAAUGGGGUACCUUGUGUCCUGUUGCAUUCCAAAGUGGUGAAAUGGUAAAUGGCCACCCAGAGUAUGCUGUGAGCUUUUUAGAUAAGAUGUACUUGCUCUCAUCUAAUGAAGCUGUUUUUAAAUUUAUGACAUCUCCGCGUCAGUUUAUUGUUCCUUUACAACACAUGUUAUCACCGUACAAAAUAGUUGUCUUAGGACCUCCUCUUUCAGGAACAACAACCCUUUGUAAUAAUUUAGCUAAUCAGUACAAAAUUCAGGUGAUCAAUGUAGAGAGUUUUGUAAAAGGGCGCUUGAAAAAGUUACAAGAUGAGCGGUUGCCAAAGUUACUUGAAGAAGCUAUAAUUAAAGUGAAAGGUUCAGAGGACUUAGCUAAAAGAGAUACUCUUGUUGAUACUGAAAGUUCAACAAAUGAAGAUAAACAAUUACUUGUCAAUGAAAUUGAUAUUAAUGAAAACCAUCCACAGGUAAUAGAGGAGGUGGAUGCAAAAAUAGGAGAAAUAGAGUUAUCUCCCAAAGAGUAUGUUGAUUGUAUUGAAGAAGCUCUAAUUGCUGCUUUCAAAGACACAAAUAAAGAUUACAGACAUUCAGGUUGGAUAUUGGAUAACUAUCCACAAACUAGAGAUCAGUUUAACAAUAUGGUAGAAAGGGAUAUAGCUAUUGAUAAUAUGUUUGUUUUUAAUGAAGACAGCAAUGCACCUGUUCUAGUUGAGCGAUGGAAUAAUAUUUACUGUAAAGGUAAAAACAAAGCUUCGCUAAGUGAGCAAGAUGAAAUCAAUUUAAAGAAAUAUAAAGAUUCUAUAUCUGAGUUCACUCAAAGUUGGCAAAGUAUUCAAUCUGCUAUUUCAUCUCACAAUGCUGUUGAGGUAAUGAUCAUCCCAACCAACAUUUCAGAGCAAGAUGCAUUUAGAUUAUCAAUAAAAAACAUAGAAGCUGCUUUUCAAUAUCAUCCUUGGAAGUAUAAUGAGUUUGAUGAAGAAGAAGAAGAGGAUGAUUAUGCUGCUACUAAUGAAGAAGUUGAAGAUGAAGAUGAAAGUAAUGAUCGCAACAAAAAAAAGCCUUUAGGUGAAACACUACAUUUCUGUCCAGUGAAGUUAAAAGAAAAUGAUGUUCUUUGGCCAGGAUCUAAUGAUUUUGCAGUUAAAUAUAGAGAAAAAGUUUACUUUCUCUCGAAUGCAGAUGCUCAAGAUCAAUUUAUGCAAAACCCAGAACUGUUUUUGCCACAAACUGAAAAGUUCAAGAUCCCAGCCAUUCGCUUUAUGUUGCUUGGCCCUAAAGGAUCUGGUAAAUCGCUUCAAGGAAGGUUGCUUGCUAGUAAGUAUGGACUUUUGCAUAUUUCGUUUAAAGAUCGCCUUCAAGAGCUAAUUAUUCAUAAGACAUUGAAAAAAGUGGGACCAGAUUUUCAGCAUCUAUAUGAAAAUGAAGAAAAUAAAGUUGAAAGUGAGGAGAAAAGAGCUGAAGUUUUUGAUUUGAACCCGUUUGAAAAAAACAUCUACAAUAAUAUCAUUGAAGGUGAACCACUCACAAAAGAAACAUUGGAUGCAAUCUUAGUACCAUGGUGGAAGGAAGAGCCAUUCAAAUCAAAAGGAUUCAUUUUAGAAGGAUUUCCGAGAUUACCAGAAGAAGUUAAUUACUUAACUGAAUCAGGUUUAUUUCCUGAUGGUGCUUUAUUUCUUAAUGUAAAGGAUGAAGAUAUUUAUAACAGACUUUCACCAUCUAUUAUCAGUCGAUGGAAGAAGCAGAAUGAUGUAAAAAUGAAAAAGAAACAGCAAAAAAAAGCAGAAAUAGAAAAACUAAAAGAGGAAAAGAGGAUUCUUCGUAGAAAGGAAAUUUUAGCUGAGAGAGAAGAUUUGCGAUCACAAAAAUUGAAUACAUCCCGCAAUAACGAAGAUGAAGAAUCUGAAGUAGAUGAAGGUGAAGAUGAAAGUAACAUCGACGACAUUAUAGAACUUGAAUUAAUAGAAGAAUUUGGAGAAGAUGAUGAGGAAGAUGAAGAAGAUAAUGAAACUGAAGAAGAUGCUAUUAAUAAGAUAAAAUCUGAAUUAGUAGAUAAAUAUAAUGAUGAAUCAAGUUUAAUAACUGAGCUAAAGGAAGCCUUUGAUGAAGAAUUGAUUUAUACUUUUGAUGUAGAUUCAUCACGCAAACCUCAAAUUGUUCAAUAUUGUCUCACAAAAUUGCUUAAAAAACACCUUUUGUGUCGAAAUUGUUUUUUUGAUAAAUGCCAAAUUUUAAAACCAACUGUUGCUAAAAACCUGUUAAAACAAGGAUAUAAAAAACUUAGCAGAUUUGGAAAGUGGUGUCCUGUUAAGCUGUAUGACAAUGAGACAUUAAUGCCUGUUCAUAAAAGUGAAAGAGAAAAAUUUCCUGUUGCUUAUCGCCAUUUUAUAUACUUUUUAUCAUCAAAAGAAGCAUCUGAAUGUUUUAUUGAAAACCCAAAGCAGUUUCUCACUGCAAAAUCUCCGAAACAUUUUGUACCUGUAAAAAUUGCUGUAUUGGGUCCUCCAAAAUCAGGAAAAACUACUCUUGCUAAUCGCUUUGUCAAAGAACUUGGUCUGGUACGAUUGUCUAUAGGAGAGGCUAUGCGUCACAUUUUAGUCAGUCACUCAAAGACUGAACUUGUUCGUAAAAUGCAAAAUUGUUUAUUAAAAGGUUAUGUAAUCCCUGAUGAGUUAGCAAUUGAAGCCCUUGAACUUCGUUUACUUGAUAUUCAAUGUUCUAUGAAUGGAUAUGUUUUAGAUGGUUACCCAUGCACCAUGCACCAGUUUAAUCUUCUGAAAGAUAGAAAAAUUAUUCCUUAUAAAUUUAUUGAGCUCAUUAUAUCUGAUCAAGAAAUUUUACAAAGAGGGUUAACAGAUAGGAGAUCUGUUUAUAGAUUAUGGCCAUUACAUGAUAGUCAUGCUAUAUUAGCAAUUCGAAUUGCUUGUUAUAGAAAAGAAUCUGUUUCAAUUCUUGAAUUCUGUCGUGAACAGUUCAAAAAUCAAUUUUGUGUUAAUGCAGAAAAUUCCAAGUGGUGGGUAUACAAUGAAGCUGUAAAAGAAGUGUCAAAAGCUGUGGAAAAUAUACAAGGAUAUAUAGAAUGUAUACAGAGAGGUCGCCCUGCUCCUAUAAAAUCUAUGUGUAUUACUCCUAGUGAAAUUCAAUCGAGACUUGGAGAGUUUUUAGACUACUGUCCUGUCAGUUUAGCACUGAAAAUGGAACUAGUUAAUUGCGCUGACCUAAAAAAUGACGAUUUAAUUGCUGAAUAUCGUGGAAAGUUUUAUAAGUUUUCUGACGAGAACAACAUGUUACAAUUUCUUAAUACUCCCACUAAAUAUGUAAUGCCGCUUGCUCCUAGAACUCUACCUGAUAAUGAAAGGCUACCUAAAAGAGUAUUUGGCGAUUUUUUAAAAAACAUUUCUUUUCAAACAAUCGCAUUUCAAGGUUACUGUCCAGUAACCUACAUUGAUGGUGAUAAAAAGUACGAAAAACUUGUUAAAGGUCAAAAAGACUUAGUGGCUGAAUUUAAGAAUUCUCUUUUUAUGUUUACUUCUGCCGAUUGUCUUGAUAAAUUUAUGAGGUCUCCGGAAAAGUAUGCUUAUGUAACUCUUCCCAAAAAAUUACCUCCAUCCAAAGAGGUUAUUGAUGUAUUAAAGCUACCUAGGCUGGGUUAUAUGGAACAGACACUGUCAGUAUCGAUUAUUAAAGCGUUAACUGCUGUUGGGAUGUUAAAGCCCAUCUUUCCAUUCUUAUCAGUUAAAAGUUCUGCCCUUAUUUAUGUAGCUUAUCACUUGAAAGAGCGUUAAAUGUUGCUUGGAAACACACCCGUAACGAGCUUUAGCAAUAUUUAUAAUUACGUUUGUAUUUGCAAUAGCUUCUUGUCUAACGUAUAUAAACUAAUGUGUUAGUAAGCAUGUGAAAAAAUUAGGCUCGUGAGCUUUUUUUCUAACUUUCAAUCCAAAAUCAAAUGAAAUGGUUAAAGCAAAGUAUAA
rnacentral:misc_RNA from 1 species